UCUUCUCUAAUACUCUACUUCAAAUCAACUAAUUACAUUCAUAAUUUCCCUAAUGUCUUCCUUUCUUUGUUUGCUUUCCUCUGAUCUUAUUUUUAAUCUAUUUCUUAUUAUAUGAAUUAAAUCAUUGCCUUGAUAUGCAGUCCAAACUAUAUUAUAUUCAGUUGGAAGAACAUUUAAUUAAUUUUAUGGAGUUUAAUAGAAGUUCGUCAAAGUUGGGGAAGAUUCUAUUUAGGAGCAACAUAUAGGAAUUAUGUGAUUGAACAAAGCUGAUGCAUGUGCAUCCAUACAAUGCCUCACCACAUUAUUACAUCGUCAAGAGGAAGGAUGUGGCAAAUGUAAAGCCUCAGGUUUUCUAGUAGCAUCUUGAAGUUUAUGUGAUAUCAGGAAAGGUUGGUGGAAGACGUGGUACUUUCAACUUAGGUCCUCUAAUGUGCAAACAAGUUUGGGUACUUCAGCUAUCUAAUUCUCUUUAUUGUGAAGGUUUUGUUAUUUUCUUUUUUCCUGCCCUUCCCCCAACAUAAUAGAAUGCAUAAAAAUGGGUUUUUAUUUUAUUUUAAAAUUAUUAUAAUAAUGCUUGCAUAAGUGUCAUCGAGAAAGUUUUAAUUCCCACAAAAUUAUUUUUAUUUUCCCAAUAUUAUAUGUUAUAGAGCUUUAGCCAAUCAUUAGGUUUUCUAAUAUACUUUUAAUAACUUGAUCAAUAAUUUCUCUCCUUUCUGAAAAAGUUAGAAUGCACUGAGCAUUAUAAACAUAAUGCUAGAAUUUUGAAAUACAAUUAAGGAUCGGUAAUUACCAAGCAUCUAUGUCAUAUUCAAAAAUGAAAAAUAGACUCUUUACAUCAAUACUUUCCAUAAUGUGCUCUUCUUGAUGAAGGCAAAGGCAGGGAAAAGAUGGAAUAUGAGAUUUCCUUCUGAACUUAGUCAGGGCAGUAAGGAUAGGAACCAUUCAUUUUCUUCCCCUACUUAUUAUAAAUUCCUUCAAAAGUUUAUGGUGAGUAAAUGUCACUUCCAUCUUUUUUAUAUUGAUACCUAUUUAUAUCAUUAGUUGGAGUCACUAAAUGUUAAUGAUGUUGGAACCUUUCUAGAGUGGUGGGUGAUGUAGAACAGAGCUCAUUAGAAGUCAGUGUGCGGGAAAUUCAAGAAGUAGAAAAGUACUAUUAGAAGUCAUUGGAGAUCACGGCAAAAUUGUGUGAAAUUAGGUGACAUGAAGGGAAAUGGUGCUGGGAGUAAAACUCAUAGCCUUCAGCCAUGAUCAAAUGUGCUUUUCGGCUUCUGCAACAAUAGUGGGGCAGCUUCAUAUCUUUUCAAGAAAUGAAACCCAAGAACAAGAAUGCACUACCUUCCAGUAAAGAAAGGUGCGAUCCCUCUCAAUUGAAACCUAAGUGGAAGAUUUGGCACAGUGGUUGAGGAUUUAUUUUAACUUAUAAUCUUGUGAAGCCUUAGAUUACAAACAAAAGAUUGGUCAUAAUCCAGAAAUCACAAAAGGUAGACUUACAAAUUGAUUCCAGUGCUUUUUUUUUUUCCUCUCACUAAAAUUUUGGAAAAUUGACAGCAAUAGGGAGUGUUGAUGACCUUGUUCUUGUUAUAUGGAAUUCUUCAGAAUCAUAUUUGUAGAUGAACUUAAAGUCUGGUUUGCUGUGCAGUGUGCACUAUAAGGAAGUAUAACUUGAGAUUCAAAUCACAUCAAAUGAGAAGGUUAACAUCUUUUUUCUUUUGAGAUCAAAUUAUAAUGUUGGGUUAGCUGGAACCAUGACUUGAAUGUACCUGCAAGUGUCAAUGAAUCAAGAUUCCUGACAAUUUGUCCGCUGUUUAAAUCCUAUGUUUUGGUUUCCUAAGUUAAAGUCUCUGUUGCAGUGACUUCAGCAUUUUUCUAGAUUAUGAGUCUUCUCUUAUUGUCAGUCUUGUUGUCUUAACUAAGAGGCCAACCUGUUUGGGUGCUCCACUUCAUAUCCCUGUAUGGAGGGUAACAGCCUACAAAUUGCAGACAAGGCAAUGGACAUAAGUCUCUGUCUAAAAAGUUGACAGUUUUUUACUUGAAUGGGUAAAUAUGAAGUCCCUUUCCAGAAGGGAAUAGUUAAAAGCGCUGGAUACUCACUCUUUAGUGCCAUUCUAGUUUUCAAUUCUCUGGGCUGGUAUCUUGGAAAACAUCAAAAGGUAAUGCCAAUUGCAUCAGAAUGUGAAGUGUGCUGAUCAGCGGAGACAUCAUUGCUGCCUGUAUUUAAUACUCCAAUCUUGAUAAUAGGUGACCUCAUCUGCCGCGACAAUAGAAUGUCUUCUCUAAGAACUGACUUUAUAUACUGAAGGCAUUGAAAUUUAUUUUCGACCUACAGCCGAAGUAAGGGAGAUAUGGCAAGCUACAAUGAUCCAUAUUGCCCAAGAAGGUGGCUGCUUUGUUCUAUCUUCGAACCAAUUCUGCAGAAAGGGAAGACUAUCUGCUGUCAACAGAAACGUAUGUCAAUACAAUAUGAAGUAUUGCACGUAGUGUUAUUUUACUAUCAUCCAGUUGUGACCAUUCUGGCUGUACCUAAUUUCCAAGGGAGUCUCUCAUCUGAAACAAUCUUUUCCUCUCUUAAUGUUCUAGAACUUGGAGGGUGUUUGAGUAAAGCUAGAUUUUAGUGGAAAUAGGCAUCAAGUGGGACCAAACUCAGUCAAUCUGACUCUGAAUAUACCCAAUCCAAUUUCUUUUACAACUUCUGUGAAAGCGGAAGUUCUUGAUGAGCUGCAAUUAAGACUUAGCUGUGUAAAAAGUUAUUAAAUACAUUUCUUCUUGUUAUCCUCUUGCCGAACAGCUAAUCUAGGCUUUGUAUAUAUCUAAUAUCUUU